UACAGGGGGUGCAAACGUUGCUCGGAAUCAUUGGGCGUAAAGCGCACGUAGGCGGUUCGUUAUGUCGGAUGUGAAAGCCCUUGGCUUAACCGAGGAAGUGCAUCCGAAACUGGCGAGCUAGAGUACUAAAGAGGAUCGCGGAAUUCCCGGUGUAGAGGUGAAAUUCGUAGAGAUCGGGAGGAACACCAGAGGCGAAGGCGGCUCACUGGACAGUGACUGACACUCAACUGCGAAAGCGUGGGGAGCAAACAGG
rnacentral:rRNA from 1 species